rnacentral:misc_RNA from 1 species
AGAGCAAUUACAAAACAAACCAUUAGCAGACAAAGAAACAGUAAUUUUUUUUUUUUUUUU